AUGAUCUGGAAAUGCUAUGCGCCAUGCUCUCCCGUCCAUAUAAAACACCAAGCCUUUGCAUCUCGCAAGGCAAACAAGAGCAGCCUUCUCCCUAUCCCCCGUCUGUCUUGCCGGUGGCUAGCUAAGAAGGCCUGUGAGAGCAUGGCAAGUAGUACCGUGUGCGAGAUCCGCCGUUUGCAGCGUGCGGACGGGCCUGCGUUGGUGCUUGCGAUCGGGACAGCAAACCCGCCCAACCACUUGUCCCAAGAGGAGUACCUGGAGUACUACUUCCGCGCCACCAAAAGCGAGCACCUCACGGACCUCAAACGCGAAUUCAAGUCAAUAUGUGACAGGACAGGCACGGAGAAACGUUUCUUUCACCACACACAGGAGCUGCUGGACGCCCACCCUCGCUUCUUCGACGGCGGACACGACCGCCUGGAGAUCGCCGCCGCCGUCGCCCCGGACCUCGCCGCGUCGGCCGCGGCCAAGGCCAUAACCAAGUGGGGCCGUCCAGCGACCGACAUCACUCACCUCAUCGUCAGCACCAACUCGUGCGCCCGCGCCCCGGGUGCCGACCUCCACAUCGCCUCCCUCCUAGGCCUCCGACCGUCUGUGGUUUGCACACUGCUCCAGAUCAACGGAUGCUCCGCCGGCUCCGCGUCGCUACGCCUCGCCAAGGACAUUGCCGAGAACAACCGCGGCGCCCGUGUCCUUGUGGUGUGCGUCGAGCUCAGCGUCGCCGCCUUGCGGGGGCCAGAGGAGAACUACCCCCACACCCUCAUCAGCCAGGCAAUUUUCAGUGAUGGCGCCGGCGCCGUAAUUAUCGGCGCUGACACGGUGCACCCACUGGAGCGCCCACUCUUCGAGAUGGUAUCCGCGUCACAGAUCGUGAUUCCGGGGACGGAUCAUCUUGCCAUGAUAAAAACCGGGGAAGGUGGCAUUUACCACCAAUUGUCGAUGCGGGAGCUUGUCCCGAUAGUAGCACAGAACAUCGAGCAGUGCAUAUCGGAUGAGCUCAAGCAGCUCGGAGUUGGCGUCGAAUGGAACGACCUCUUCUGGGCAAUGCACCCCGGCGUCAAUGCACUCUUAGACCAUGUCGACCAGGCUCUCAUGUUGGACCCGGGAAAGUUGGCAGCGAGUCGGACCGUGCUGAGAGAGUACGGGAAUAUGCUCAGCGCCACAGUGAUUUUUGUGCUUGAUGAGCAGCGGCGCCGAAUGGAAGAGGACGGAGAGGAAGGUGUUUGGGGUGUGAUGCUGGGAUUUGGACAUGGGUUCACAAUUGAGACUAUGGUGAUGCAUGCGACCAGCAAUCUCAAGCAAAAGUAUGCCAGAAUGUAG
rnacentral:rRNA from 1 species